UACAGGGGGGGCAAGCGUUGUUCGGAAUUACUGGGCGUAAAGGGUCUGUAGGUGGCCAACUAAGUCAGACGUGAAAUCCCUCAGCUUAACUGGGGAACUGCGUCUGAUACUGGAUGGCUCGAGUGUGGGAGAGGAAUACGGAAUUCCAGGUGUAGCGGUGAAAUGCGUAGAUAUCUGGAGGAACACCGGUGGCGAAGGCGGCAUUCUGGACCAUAACUGACACUGAGAGACGAAAGCCAGGGGAGCAAACGGG
rnacentral:rRNA from 1 species